rnacentral:rRNA from 1 species
GAUUUUCCGGUUGAUCCUGCCGGACCCCACUGCUAUCGGGAUAGGACUAAGACAUGCUAGUCGAGCGCUUCAGCCAAAAAGAGGCGCGGCAUACAGCUCAGUAACACGUGGCUAAUCUGCCCUUAGGACGAGAACAACCCCGGGAAACUGGGGCUAACUCUCGAUAGGUGAAGAACUCUGGAAUGAGUCUUCGCCCAAAAAGCUUCACGUUAUGCGCGUGAGGUUGCCUAAGGAUGAGGCCGCGACCGAUCAGGUUGUUGGUGAGGUAAUGGCUCACCAAGCCUUUUACCGGUGCGGGCCGUGAGAGCGGGAGCCCGGAGAUGGGCACUGAGACAAGGGCCCAGGCCCUACGGGGCGCAGCAGUCGCGAAAACUUUGCAAUACACGAAAGUGUGACAGGGCUAUCCCGAGUGCCAUCCGCUGAGGAAGGCUUUUACCCAGUCUAGAACGCUGGGGGAAUAAGGAGAGGGCAAGUCUGGUGUCAGCCGCCGCGGUAAUACCAGCUCUCCGAGUGGUGUGGAUGUUUAUUGGGCCUAAAGCAUCCGUAGCUGGCUAAGUUAGUCCCUUGUUAAAUCCACCGAAUUAAUCGUUGGAUUGCGGGGGAUACUGCUUGGCUAGGGGACGAGAGAGGCAGACGGUAUUCCCGGGGUAGGGGUGAAAUCCUAUAAUCCCGAGAAGACCACCAGUGGCGAAGGCUGUCUGCUAGAACGCGCCCGACGGUGAGGGAUGAAAGCUGGGGGAGCGAACCGGAUUAGAUACCCGGGUAGUCCCAGCUGUAAACGAUGCAGGCUAGGUGUUUGGACGGCCACGUGCCGUUCUAGUGCCGCAGGGAAGCUGUUAAGCCUGCCGCCUGGGGAGUACGAUCGCAAGAUUGAAACUUAAAGGAAUUGGCGGGGGAGCACCACAAGGGGUGAAGCUCGCGGUUUAAUUGGAUUCAACGCCGGGAAU